ACCAACUACACCAUCGACGUCUUUGCCGUUAGUUCAGCCGGUAUUGCCGGGCCCUUUGUUAGGAACUAUGCCGCCACCGCUGAAACAGAGCCUCUUGCCCCGCCUUCCGUGAUCGUCGGGCUCACGGACCGGACUCGAUCGACGUGAUUUGGGGUUCGAAUCCUGACGAGAGGUGUUCGGGUUCCAUCACCAUCUGUUGGCACGACAAUGACCAUGUUGAAAUCUGCGAGAACAUUCCUGAUGGCGGCGGAAACAACUUCACCAUCACAGACCUGUUGCCGUGCAGCAGUUACGACGUGAUUGUCUCCGUCGUGACUCCUGGAGGUAUCAUCGGCCAACCCGCUGGCAACGCCACUCACACCGAGGACGUCCCGCCCGGCCCCGUCAA